CGAAGGGUGCAAGCGUCACUCGGAAUUACUGGGCGUAAAGCGUGCGUAGGUGGUGAGUUAAGUCUGUCGUGAAAGCCCCGGGCUCAACCUGGGAAUGGCGAUGGAUACUGGCUCGCUAGAGUGCGGUAGAGGAGAGUGGAAUUCCCGGUGUAGCAGUGAAAUGCGUAGAGAUCGGGAGGAACAUCAGUUGCGAAGGCGGCUCUCUGGACCAGCACUGACACUGAGGCACGAAAGCGUGGGGAGCAAACAGGAUUAGAUACCCUGGUAGUCCACGCCCUAAACGAUGCGAACUGGACGUUGGGAGCAAUCAGGCUCUCAGUGUCGAAGCUAACGCGUUAAGUUCGCCGCCUGGGGAGCACGGUCGCAAGACUG
rnacentral:rRNA from 1 species